GCAAAUGCGUUGACAAAGAGGAGUAGGUAAGUAACACUUAACAGAGAGGAUCAUUCACCGGCUGAGAGAUGAUCUAUAAGCAGUCUUACUGAAGGUAGCUUUGUAGCAGCGUUUCUGAAGCCUUAUUAUAAAUUUAAGGUGGGUAGGAAAUGCCGGGAAGUCCCGUUAUAGACAUCAGAGGUGGCUUUUAUAAGCCAUAAAUAAAGGUGGUACCACGGUUCUUCGUCCUUUGA
rnacentral:ncRNA from 1 species